UUGAAGCAUGAUCUGAGCUAACAUUUUCACCAGUGAAUUGGCUGACAGCUGAAUAGCAUCUGAGAAAAUGUCUUGUUCAUUAUAUUUAAAUGGUGAAGGAUUCUGUUGUAUUCUACCCAGACUCUGAAAUGAUUCUUUGUUCUGUCAGUCUUUUGAAGCCGUGAGGAAGAACAGGAGCCUGCCUGCAGGAACAAAGCCAAUCUGUGUGUGUUUUGUCACAACUGUGUCUUCAUGCCAGCUGUUGUUCUUGCUGCCAAGAACAAAAGCUGAGAGGGGCUCGUUGGAUAACAGCCAGAGGACAUGAUGUGCUCCAUUACUGCUGGUUGUUCAUCAAACAGCUCACAGUUCUGUUUCUGUGAGGACGAUAAGACACAAUAACUCCACCUGGCACCGUGCGACUGCAGCAGCUCUAAUGCGGCUUUCAGGACUGAGCUUUGGCAUUUCACUCUGAAGCCAUGCAGCUGAGUCUCUUCUUUUCCUUCUACAAUUACGUCCAAUA